rfam:Trichobilharzia regenti genome assembly, scaffold: TRE_scaffold0001339
GUACUGAUGAAGAGUCCCAAACUAGGAUGAAACAGCUGUCCAGUAU